UGCUCUGCUGGUUUGCAGCCCUGCCCACAGCAGGGGGGUUGGAACUACAUGAUCUUUGAGGUCCUUUUCAACUCAGGCCGUUCUGUGAUUCUACGAUUAAGUGAACCAACUACCUAAUUCUCCUUUAAACGGCAAAAUUGCCUGCAUCUCACAUAGAAGAGAAACUGCUAACCUCCUCAUUGCUGAGGGCACGGGAUCAAGAGUAGCUGAGCCUGACCUGUAGUUCAUGGGAGCCAACAGGAACUCAGAAGCGAGCCUGCCACAAGUGUCCAGUCAUGAGGAGCUGAGCCGCUCCAGGAGUGGAUCAGAGCCACUCAGCCUUCCUGCGUGAUGGUAAAUAAAAUGAGCCAGCUCUAUACAAGGAUCACUGCCCCUGAGAACAACUGGCACAGCACAACUAUAGGGUAAGCUGAAUUUCCUCACUCUCUACACAGCAUGGUUGCAUCCAAAAUGCCUUCUUGGAGUCGUCCUUGUUGCAUCUUAAUUUCUAGCUGUAGUUGGAUAUGGUCCAGAAGCACCUGGAAGACUCUGAGUUCAUCCCAAAAAUGCUGCCAGACUUGGGCAGAGACAGCUGAAGAAUUACAGCCUUGUUCCUGGUUCUGCCCAUGCUCCUAUAUCUGGAGCAACUUUAUUCCUCUCUUCAGCUAAGAUCAUCCACCCUCCUUUCUGCAUGCUUCCAACUUACACUUGCAAGACAAAACAUUAGAUCCCUCCAAGGAGCAAUAGUCAUUCUGGUGCCCUGGAUGCUUGACACAUUGGAGAACAGGGUGCUAUCUCAGCAGCAGUUUUCUCCAUGGGCACUACUGUAUGAACCCCAUUAUGGAAAUGACAUCGCAGACCGACUUCUCAUUCUGCACUCCCAGGAAGCUUCAAGAUACCUGAAACAUAUCAGAAACCCAUAUGUUGGCAGCCCUGUCUACGCUUGGGAGCUGAUGUGGAUUCCAGGCCCAGAAACUCUCAUUCCACUAAAAGGAAGAUUAUACUAUUACACUGUAACAAAAUCUUGGGGAUUCAAUUUCCAAAGAGCAUAUUUGCCUUUGUUGGGAGUCCCACGCAUAUCUACUGUGGUAAGAGCAGCACUGUAAUAUCUGCUACUCAAAAGAACAGCAGCUACAAAGAGAACUAGCCACCAACAUCAGCAUCUUCACUUUUAUCUUCAAACAACACAUGGUAUUAAUCUGGAGCCUCGCAUUCCUAAAAGUACUGGAAUCAUGAAGUGAUUUGCUUCCAGCAGGACCCUGAAACACAGAGUAACACAAGGGAAAACAGUCAGAAUGAACAAUCAGAGCAAAAUAUGCCUGCUGUCAAAUAGACUCUAAGCUUUUAGCUUUUCACCCGACAUCACCCAGCUGAUGAUUUGCGGGUCUCAUUCUACUUCCAGCCGCACCGCCUAAGUCGUGGAGGUGGGAGCAGUUACUGUGAGUCACUGAAACUUGGGGCAGCUUCAGAGAGCGACACGUGUUGGGACAGGGCAGGAUUAAUAAGGUCAGAAUCUCAUUCGCACGUCAGUUCUGCUCUGGCAUAAGUAUGUGAUGCACUGCAGCUUGGUCAUGUUUCAGUGGGGUUGCUUCAGAUCUGCUUUACUCUUUGUGAGAUCAGAAUCUGUGGCUGAUAUCGGAUGAAAAGUUAUGGUGACACCGAGGCAAUUUCUUUUGUAUUUCAUGUGAAGAAAGCUAAAAUAAAUAGCAUGAAAGGCC
rnacentral:lncRNA from 1 species